AUACGGAGGGGGUUAGCGUUGUGCGGAAUUACUGGGCGUAAAGCGUACGUAGGCGGACUAGUAAGUGAGGGGUGAAAUCCCAGGGCUCAACCCUGGAACUGCCUUUCAUACUGCUAGUCUUGAGGUCGAGAGAGGUGAGUGGAAUUCCGAGUGUAGAGGUGAAAUUCGCAGAUAUUCGGAGGAACACCAGUGGCGAAGGCGGCUCACUGGCUCGAUACUGACGCUGAGGUACGAAAGUGUGGGGAGCAAACAGGAUUAGAAACCCUAGUAGUCC
rnacentral:rRNA from 1 species